AUUGAACGCUGGCGGCAGGCCUAACACAUGCAAGUCGAACGAGUGGCGGACGGGUGAGUAAUGCUUGGGAAUCUGGCUUAUGGAGGGGGAUAACGACGGGAAACUGUCUCUAAUACCGCGUACCAUGAGAUGAGCCCAUGUGGGAUUAGGGAGUUGGUGGGGUAAGGGCAUACCUAGCCGACGAUCUCUAGCUGGUCUGAGAGGAGGACCAGCCACACCGGGACGGAGACACGGCCCGGACUCCUACGGGAGGCAGCAGUGGGGAAUAUUGCGCAAUGGGGGCAACACUGACGCAGCCAUGCCGCGUGAAUGAAGAAGGCCUUCGGGUUGUAAAGUUCUUUCGGUGACGAGGCGUUAAUCACAGAAGAAGCACCGGCUAACUCCGUGCCAGCAGCCGCGGUAAUUC
rnacentral:rRNA from 1 species